rnacentral:sRNA from 2 species
UGAAAGUGUACCUAGGGUUCCGGAAAACUUCACUUUUAUGUAAUGUUUUCGUCUGGUCCGAGCGGUACAGGUAUUACCAUGUGUAAUAUCACACCGAGGGGAUAAAAGCCCGGUCGGG